AGCAUAUCAAUAAGCGGAGGAAAAGAAACCAACAGGGAUUGCCCCAGUAACGGCGAGUGAAGCGGCAACAGCUCAAAUUUGAAAUCUGGCCCUCGGGUCCGAGUUGUAAUUUGCAGAGGAUGCUUCGGGCGAGGUGCCUUCCGAGUUCCCUGGAACGGGACGCCAUAGAGGGUGAGAGCCCCGUCUGGUUGGACACCGAGCCCGUGUGAAGCUCCUUCGAAGAGUCGAGUAGUUUGGGAAUGCUGCUCAAAAUGGGAGGUAUAUGUCUUCUAAAGCUAAAUAUUGGCCAGAGACCGAUAGCGCACAAGUAGAGUGAUCGAAAGAUGAAAAGCACUUUGAAAAGAGGGUUAAAAAGUACGUGAAAUUGUUGAAAGGGAAGCGCCCAUGACCAGACUUGGGCCCGGUGAAUCACCCGGCGUUCUCGCCGGUGCACUUUGCCGGGCACAGGCCAGCAUCAGUUUGGCGCGGGGGACAAAGGCUUCGGGAAUGUGGCUCCCUCGGGAGUGUUAUAGCCCGCUGCGCAAUACCCUGCGCCGGACUGAGGUACGCGCAUCGCAAGGAUGCUGGCGUAAUGGUCAUCAGCGACCCGUCUUGAAACACGGACCAAGGAGUCGUCUUCGUAUGCGAGUGUUCGGGUGUCAAACCCCUACGCGGAAUGAAAGUGAACGCAGGUGAGAGCUUCGGCGCAUCAUCGACCGAUCCUGAUGUUCUCGGAUGGAUUUGAGUAAGAGCAUACGGGGCCGGACCCGAAAGAAGGUGAACUAUGCCUGUAUAGGGUGAAGCCAGAGGAAACUCUGGUGGAAGCUCGCAGCGGUUCUGACGUGCGAAUCGAUCGUCAAAUAUGGGCAUGGGGGCGAAAGACUAAUCGAACCUUCUAGUAGCUGGUUUC
rnacentral:rRNA from 1 species